AGGUCAAUCAUGAGAAUUUAUAUUAUCUUUAACAGAGAUGAUGACAUAAAAAUCAGGCUCAAUAAGAUUAUGUGGAGGCCC